CAACACAGCACAGCACAGCACGGCACAACGGUCUCCCUCGGCUGGAGGUGGAGAGCUUCCAGCCAACUUCCUGGCUCCUGGGUCUCCGAGUCACCUAAAGCCACUGGCAAGGGACACUGACGCCAGAGCUUCUGACCCCUCAAGGGCUGGGCCCCUCUGAGGACGGGCUCCCAGGAGGUGGAGUGGGAGGCAGGUGGACCUGGAAACAUUGGCCGUGCAAGGUGUGUGAAGAGCACGUGCAUUUGCACGGAGCUGAGCAUCGUUCGGAGGACGGUGUUUUGGAACCUGGGAGUCUGGUGUCCGGGGCCCCGCCUUUAGCUAGCACCAUCGUCCUGGGAGCAGUGAAUCUGGAUGAGCGUCUCCUACGUGCUGGGCUCCUGGAACCUUCUGGAAGCUUUCCGACGGCAGCAAGGCUGCCUUCCUUUCCAUCUUACAGACAGGUGCACGAGGCUAGGAAGGGCUGGAUGGGAACCCUGGCCUUCCGCCUCCCAGCCGGGGGCCUCCCUUCUCACCUGGGGGGGCUCAGUGAGAAUGACGGGCCGGGAGGGCUGGGGGCCCUGCCCUUCCUGCAUCCAUCGGCUCCCCCAGACCUGGCCCUCCCUGGCCGGGCCAGGCCCACAGCUGGGCCUCUCUCCAAGGGCCUCCGGGAUCUUCUGCCACAAACAGUAGGGUGGGGGACACUUGCGAAAGCUCGACUUGCCCCGGCCAAUCAGUCCCCGAGGCCUUGGCUGGCUCUUUCCGGGGCUCUGCGUGCCUCAGCGUACUUCCAGAGGAGGGGUGGGCCUGGGGCUGCUGACAGCAGAUCAGGUCGCUGGUGGGAGUCAACAUUUCCAUCCUGGGCCUUUUCCGAGGGGCCCGCGGUCCUGGUAGAAACGCUGCUUUGCCAGGUCCCCCACUGACCGGGAUGGAGAGGACUCGGCCCAUUUUGCACAGAACAAGCUCAGGGGCUGGAGAGUGUCCUCAGGGUGGGCCCGGCAGACCCCUGAGCGAGCCCCUUGCUCCCAGGGCUGGGGGCACUCCAAACUGGCCUGGUGUGUGGAGUUGGUCUGGUCAAAAGGUGGUCAGCAGCCUCUGGGAGUGACGUUACUGACAAGGGCAACCAACGGUGCUGGUGGCCCUCCCUGGACGGCGUCCUGGGCUGGGCGAGGCGAUGCAGGAGAAACACCCUGUCCCAGGUACCUCCUGCGUGCUGGCAGCCCAAGGACACUCUGAGCACAUGGGCUCAUCGGUCUUCCAACCAGAAGCCAUCAACACCCUCCCUCUGCAGAGGGGGAAACUGAGGCCUGGGGAGGUGAGGUGGUUCCAGGAGGAGCUGGGCUGUGAUGGAGAGGGCCUUGGUGGUGAGGGUUGUGGAGGCCAGACCUACUGUGCCUCGGGGAGGCCGGCGCCCAGGCCCUCUGGGUGGGGGUGCCCUGCCCUGGCCUGAGAGGGGGACUGGGCCUUGGCCAUGGGCUCCAAGAUGCCCACCAGUGCCCUCCUCUUUCCGGACUUCGUGGCUGAAGCCUCAUCUGUCAACUGGGGUGGAAGGGGUGGGGACCAGAGGGGACUCAGGACGUUCCAAGUACUCCCCUACCUGCCCCAGCCGAGGAGUGGGUUAGUGCUGGCUGGCAGGCCUCGGGCCACCCUUGACCCCUGCCCAGCUUCUAUGAUCCACAGGCAGCUGUGACAGGCCAUCAGAGGCUGGGCGGUGACCACGGCCGGGUCACACAGCUCCUAGCUGGCCGCAUCGGGGCUUGCUCCAGGUGACCCCCAGGUCUCAGCCCUCCCUCUGUCCACCACUCUGGGCAGCCAGGCCGUUCCCUGAAGGGGCACAGGAGCCCUUCCCUGGAGCUUGGGGUGGGUGCUUUGCAGAAUGCCCGAAGGGAGCACAGGUGUCCGUGACCCUCGGCCACCCCCAGGGCCUUCUUGGCCAAGCCUAGGUUCCAGCAGGAGUGCUCCUGCCUUUGUGGGGGUUGGGGCCCACCCAGCUCUGGGGAGCCCCCAUUGUGGGCCAUAGCUCCAAGACUUCGUGAUGUCCCCAGUCCUCCCAGACCCGGCGGCCCUGCCCCAGGGUGGGGGCCCGUGAGAGGAGGGGGCUGGCCAGCAUCUCCAGCCGAGCCCCUCAACUAAGAUGUGGGGGCCGGGCGUUGGCUGGGUGGUCCCGGCAGGUGCAGGUCCUUCUGGGGGCCAGGCGCGCCCUCUGGUGGCGAGAGGAGGCAAAACCCUGCCCGUCGGCGCCGACGGGUGGACCGGAAUCAGGCUGGGUGGGCCGGGGUCUCCGCAUCGGGGAUGCCCAGGAAGACCUCCCAGGGCUGGGCGGACGCACGCAGUUUUGGGGGCGUGAGGUCCAGCACCUCGACUUCCAGUGAUGCCAGUGAUGGAGGGGAGGCCUCCCCCACCCGCAGCAUCGACCCCGCCCGCCUUUGCCCACGCGAGGGGCGCCAGCAGGGGGAGGGGGCGCGGCAGAAGGCUCUGAAGGUCAGCCGACCACCACGGUCCUUUUUGGUAAUGCCCGUAUGUGAGUUUGGGAAUCGCUGUCACAAAGCUUUUGUCCCCAUGUACUCAGUAGGUGAGCAGAGCUACUUCCUGCUAACAUCUUUAAAACCCCCCAAACUAGGGGUAAGUUUGAUGCUUGACGCUGUCUUUUUAACAGUAAGUGAUACUCAUCCGUGGAAACAAAAGGAAAAAAGCCCCAUCUAUUUCAUCAAGAGAUGCAUUUUCAAUGAAAAUUUACUUUUUCUGUCUAACAACUUUUAAUCAAAAUGUAUGUUAUUUAUAUCUCAAUCUGGCUUUUGAUGAGUGGUGAACUAAUAACUGUAAAAAUAACUAAAUCCAGG
ensembl:lncRNA